GACGAACGUUGGCGGCGUGCUUAAUACAUGCAAGUCCACUGAAGCAGUGGUAGCAAUAUCGCUGUGGAGGUGGCGCACGGGUUAGUAACACGUAUGUAAUCUGCCUUCAGGUCUGGCAUAACUCCGGGAAACCGGGGCUAAUAGCAGAUGAUGCAGCGGCUCGACAUCGAGACAGUUGUUAAAGCUAUGGCGCCUGAAGAUGAGCCUGCGUCUGAUUAGCUAGUUGGCGGGGUAACGGCCCACCAAGGCAACGAUCAGUAGCUGGUCUGAGAGGAUGAUCAGCAACAAUGGAACUGAGACACGGUCCAGACUCAUACGGGAGGCAGAAGUAAGGAAUAUUGCUCAAUGGGAGAAAUCAUGAAGCAGCAACGCCGCGUGAGGGACGAAGGGCUUUUGCUUGUAAACCUCUGUAGUGAGAGAAAAAAAUCCCAAUCUUUGGGACAUGAUGGUAUCUCAAAAGUAAGCCCCGGCUAACUACGUG
rnacentral:rRNA from 1 species